AACAACAAACUACAGACCCUCCUUGGUUGUCAAAGAAAAGCAGUGAAGGCAAAACCUUCAUUGAGCCCUUUGGGACUGAGACUAUCUAGUCGAUAGAUCCACCUAGUUUCUUCUUGCAAUAAAAUGGCAUCCAGAUCUCCCUUUCUCGCACCCACAGUUUUCUUACAGAUCCCCCAAAAUUUGAGUACCUUAUGGUCACCUCCAUGAUAGGCUCUGACAUGCCUGGAGACCGAGGUGUCUGACUUAGUGUUGAUACUGCUAAUAUGCUGGCAGAUCCUUCUCCUAAACUCUUGGGACGUCUUUCCAACAUAGAUUCUAAGACAGGGACAUUGGAUGGCAUAUACAAUGCCUUUGGUCUUACAGUUAAUGUAUUGCCUUAUCUGAUAUUCUCUUUUGUCCACAGGAUUAAUGAAGAAUCGGCAUCUCUUGACAAGAGGACAGAAGACACAGUCUCCACCACGGUUUGAAAAGACUCUAUAUGUUUUUGUAACCGCAACUCCUGUGCGGCAAAAUCUGGAUUAGCGAUGGUAUAUUAGAGGAAAAAAAGGGAAAACAGCGGCACUAUGCAAUAUAGUGAAUCACCUGUAAGCCCCUUAAGUCUGUCAGGAGUCCAUAGACUUCGGUCUGAAGAAGCGCGACUCCUGGCCAUCCCGCUCCCCAGCCUGCGCAGUAUGCCACUUAAUCUGCAAUAAAGCAACAAGUAACCGCAAGACCUUGGUUGAGUCAGGAUAUAUACACCUAGUGGUGGGUUCCAAGAAGUUCUUGUUUACAGUGGUUGGCUGCUCCGUUGAGCUCUAGGUUCUCGGUUCGUGGUUUUCCGGUUGGAGUUCCGUUGGAAGAAGUUUAGUCCAGUGUUCGGAUGUGGGUCUGCUAGUCGCAUCAAAGAAAGAGGAAGAGGUGACAGGGGAGGACCUAUUUAUGGACUGACUAAUGGGAGGGGUUAUUG